CCUCGUAUAAGACACCCUGGCGAUCCGCGUGAUUCACUUUUGCCUUUCCCUUCUCUAUUCUUUUGUCUUCAGUUUGUCCAAAUUUCAGAAAGAAACAGUCUCUCUCUCUUACCGUCUUACCCUUGAUCUUUAUCUGGCACACCCAUUGCCGAAUCUCCAUCACUGCUGCUAGCCACCGAGAGUCCCACAUCACCACCACCGGCGGUGCUCUCCGAUGUGACCCUCUCCUCUCUUAAGUCUUGAGGAAGAUUCAUCAAAUUGAGAAAUACAUCAGGCUACUCUCCAAAUUGGCUGAUUUCCUUCACUUCCUACUUACAGAAGAAAAGGAAGCUGAUAUUGGGGAACAAAGUGCAGAAGCUCUCCCAAGUUUAUCCCGCCAUCAAGGAGGUCCUUGGAAUGACAAGUCAGAGAGGUCUUUCAAAGGAUUUUGCGCCACUGUCCAUGGAGUCUAUCUUUUUUUCUUUCUUUUUUUCUCUAGUUGUUGCUAUUGUAUAAUUGAAUUGUUGAACAAGUUGUUGAAUUUUUCAUGUUGUAGCUGAUUUUGUUUUCAUGAGUAAUGAGUAUAUGCAAUGUAUACAGACACAUUCAUACAACUCAUGGUACACACUAUUUUGUUGUAUUUUUUUUUUACUUUACAUUGGAAAGUCAUUUUACAUGAUUAGUUGUAUUUCUCUUAUCAUUAGGGAUUGCUUCUUCUAUGGCAUCUCAUUACAGUUUC